AGUUUGAACCUGGCUCAGAACGAACGCUGGCGGCAGGCUUAACACAUGCAAGUCGAGCGCCCCGCAAGGGGAGCGGCAGACGGGUGAGUAACGCGUGGGAAUCUACCCUUUUCUACGGAAUAACGCAGGGAAACUUGUGCUAAUACCGUAUGAGCCCUUCGGGGGAAAGAUUUAUCGGGAAAGGAUGAGCCCGCGUUGGAUUAGCUAGUUGGUGGGGUAAAGGCCUACCAAGGCGACGAUCCAUAGCUGGUCUGAGAGGAUGAUCAGCCACAUUGGGACUGAGACACGGCCCAAACUCCUACGGGAGGCAGCAGUGGGGAAUAUUGGACAAUGGGCGCAAGCCUGAUCCAGCCAUGCCGCGUGAGUGAUGAAGGCCCUAGGGUUGUAAAGCUCU
rnacentral:rRNA from 1 species